rnacentral:rRNA from 1 species
AGUUCGGCUGGAUCGGUGACAGGUGCUGCAUGGCUGUCGUCAGCUCGUGUCGUGAGAUGUUGGGUUAAGUCCCGGCAACGAGCGCAACCCUUGUCCUUAGUUGCCAGCAUUCAGUUGGGCACUCUAAGGAGACUGCCGGUGUCAAACCGGAGGAAGGUGGGGAUGACGUCAAGUCCUCAUGGCCCUUAUGUCCAGGGCUACACACGUGCUACAAUGGCCGGUACAAAGGGGCGCAAGACCGCGAGGUGGAGCAAAUCCCAAAAAACCGGUCUCAGUUCGGAUUGGAGUCUGCAACUCGACUCCAUGAAGUUGGAAUCGCUAGUAAUCGCGUAUCAGCAUGACGCGGUGAAUACGUUCCCGGGCCUU